AGUAAUCUGGCAGAAUUAAUGCAUUUGAUUUAGGCUCAAAACAUAGGUUAAAACCUGGUUGCUU
rnacentral:tRNA from 1 species